rnacentral:rRNA from 1 species
UACGUAGGGUGCAAGCGUUGUUCGGAAUUACUGGGCGUAAAGCGCGCGUAGGCGGGCUUGAAAGUUUGAUUGUGAAAGCCCUGGGCUUAACCCGGGAAUGGCAGUCAAAAACUACAAGUCUUUGAGUGCCUGAGAGGAUGGCGGAAUUCCCGGUGUAGUAGUGAAAUACGUAGAUAUCGGGAAGAACACCUGAGGCGAAGGCGGCUAUCUGGCGGUGCACUGACGCUGAGGCGCGAAAGCGUGGGGAGCAAACAGG